rnacentral:misc_RNA from 1 species
GAUGAAGAACGCAGCGAAAUGCGAUAAGUAGUGUGAAUUGCAGAAUUCAGUGAAUCAUCGAAUCUUUGAACGCACAUUGCGCCCUUUGGUAUUCCUUAGGGCAUGCCUGUUCGAGCGUCAUUUAAACCUUCAAGCUCAGCUUGGUGAUGGGCGACUGUCCUCCCCUCGCGGGGGGACUCGCCUCAAAAACAUUGGCGGCCGGUACAUUGGCUUCGAGCGCAGCAGAAACGCGGUCUCGAGCCCGGUGGAUCGGCUCCCAUAAGCCUAUUCUUUUAUUUUGACCUCGGAUCAGGUAGGGAUACCCGCUGAACUUAAGCAUAUCAAUAAGCGGAGGA